rnacentral:rRNA from 1 species
CACGUAGGGGGCGAGCGUUGUCCGGAAUCAUUGGGCGUAAAGAGCUCGUAGGCGGCUCAGUAAGUCGGGUGUGAAACCCUCAGGCUCAACCUGGGGACGCCACCCGAUACUGCUGUGGCUAGAGUCCAGUAGGGGAGUGUGGAAUUCCCGGUGUAGCGGUGAAAUGCGCAGAUAUCGGGAGGAACACCAGCGGCGAAGGCGGCACUCUGGGCUGGAACUGACGCUGAGGAGCGAAAGCGUGGGUAGCAAACGAGG